GGUCCGCCAGGCCUGCAACGGCUGCCGAGGGUCGUGGGAUGCGCUCGCCGCGUCCCUGCUCAGGCGGAGGGAGCCCGGCCCGCCGCCAGGGUCUCGAGUCCGGGUCCAGGCAGGCGUGGAGGUGGCGGGAACGGCGCACCGCCCGGGUGGGCGUUGUUUUAAGGCCGCAGGGCUUGGGAGGCUUGUGUUGAGUUAAAGGAGUAUGACAACUUUUCAACUUGAGUGCACACACUGUCCUCGGAAUCCCGCGUUCCAGGGAGGAAGCGCCUUUGACAGCGCGCGCCGGUUCGUGGGGCCCGACGGCGUGGGCCCGUGGUUGCGGACCUGGCGGAGAUGCGCGUUCGCUUCGAUUGUAGGCCAUUCCUUUUAGGAGCUGAGAAAGGAUCCGUUUUUACAGCAUUCUCGACCUGUGAUUCUUGGUGGGGGAAACUAGUUAUGUGGAUAAAAAUACAGUUAGCAAAAU
rnacentral:lncRNA from 1 species